ACUUUCAACAACGGAUCUCUUGGUUCUGGCAUCGAUGAAGAACGCAGCGAAAUGCGAUAAGUAGUGUGAAUUGCAGAAUUCAGUGAAUCAUCGAAUCUUUGAACGCACAUUGCGCCCCUUGGUAUUCCAUGGGGCAUGCCUGUUCGAGCGUC
rnacentral:rRNA from 1 species